UACGAAGGGUGCAAGCGUUAAUCGGAAUUACUGGGCGUAAAGCGUGCGUAGAUGGUUCGCUAAGUCGGAUGUGAAAGCCCCGGGCUCAACCUGGGAACUGCAUCCGAUACUGGCGGACUAGAGUGUGAUAGAGGAUGGCGGAAUUCCCGGUGUAGCGGUGAAAUGCGUAGAGAUCGGGAGGAACAUCCGUGGCGAAGGCGGCCAUCUGGAUCAACACUGACGUUGAGGCACGAAAGCGUGGGGAGCAAACAGGAUUAGAAACCCCAGUAGUCC
rnacentral:rRNA from 1 species